rnacentral:rRNA from 1 species
CCCUUAGAUGUUCUGGGCCGCACGCGCGCUACACUGAUGCAUUCAACGAGUUCCUACCUUGGCCGAGAGGCCUGGGCAAUCUUUUGAACUUGCAUCGUGAUAGGGAUAGAUUAUUGCAAUUAUUAAUCUUGAACGAGGAAUUCCUAGUAAACGCAGAUCAUCAAUCUGCAUUGAUUACGUCCCCGCCCUUUGUACACACCGCCCGUCGCACCUACCGAUUGAAUGGUCCGGUGAAGCCUCGGGAUUGUGGUUAGUUUCCUUCAUUGGAAGUUAGCCGCGAGAACUUGUCUAAACCUUAUCAUUUAGAGGAAGGUGAAGUCGUAACA